CUUCAGAUGGCCGAGAAAUAAGCAAUAGAUUUUUAAUCUGUGAACGAUAUUUUAUAUCUCUGAGGA
rnacentral:tRNA from 1 species